GAUGAACGCUGGCGGCGUGCCUAAUACAUGCAAGUCGAGCGAACAGACGAGGAGCUUGCUCCUCUGACGUUAGCGGCGGACGGGUGAGUAACACGUGGAUAACCUACCUAUAAGACUGGGAUAACUUCGGGAAACCGGAGCUAAUACCGGAUAAUAUAUUGAACCGCAUGGUUCAAUAGUGAAAGACGGUUUUGCUGUCACUUAUAGAUGGAUCCGCGCCGCAUUAACUAGUUGGUAAGGUAACGGCUUACCAAGGCAACGAUGCGUAGCCGACCUGAGAGGGUGAUCAGCCACACUGGAACUGAGACACGGUCCAGACUCCUACGGGAGGCAGCAGUAGGGAAUCUUCCGCAAUGGGCGAAAGCCUGACGGAGCAACGCCGCGUGAGUGAUGAAGGUCUUCGGAUCGUAAAACUCUGUUAUUAGGGAAGAACAAAUGUGUAAGUAACUAUGCACGUCUUGACGGUACCUAAUCAGAAAGCCACGGCUAACUACGUG
rnacentral:rRNA from 1 species